rnacentral:rRNA from 1 species
GUGGGGAAUCUUAGACAAUGGGCGCAAGCCUGAUCUAGCCAUGCCGCGUGAGCGAUGAAGGCCUUAGGGUUGUAAAGCUCUUUCGCUGGGGAAGAUAAUGACUGUACCCAGUAAAGAAGCCCCGGCUAACUCCGUGCCAGCAGCCGCGGUAAUACGGAGGGGGCUAGCGUUGUUCGGAAUUACUGGGCGUAAAGCGCGCGUAGGCGGAUUGGAAAGUUGGGGGUGAAAUCCCGGGGCUCAACCUCGGAACUGCCUUCAAAACUCCCAGUCUUGAGUUCGAGAGAGGUGAGUGGAAUUCCGAGUGUAGAGGUGAAAUUCGUAGAUAUUCGGAGGAACACCAGUGGCGAAGGCGGCUCACUGGCUCGAUACUGACGCUGAGGUGCGAAAGCGUGGGGAGCAAACAGGAUUAGAAACCCGUGUAGUCC